rnacentral:rRNA from 1 species
GACAGAGGGUGCAAACGUUGUUCGGAAUUACUGGGCGUAAAGCGUGUGUAGGCGGCCAUUCAAGUCGGAUGUGAAAGCCCCGGGCUCAACCCGGGAAGUGCACCCGAAACUGGAUGGCUUGAGUAUCGGAGAGGUUGGUGGAAUUCUCGGUGUAGAGGUGAAAUUCGUAGAUAUCGAGAGGAACACCGGUGGCGAAGGCGGCCUUCUGGACAGUGACUGACGCUGAGGCGCGAAAGCGUGGGGAGCAAACAGG